rnacentral:rRNA from 1 species
CCCUACGGGGUGCAGCAGGCGCGAAAACUUCACACUGUGCGAAAGCGCGAUGAGGGAAUCUCAAGUGUUUGCUCGUAAGAGUAAACUGUUUCUUUGUUUAAAACGCAGAGAGAGUAAGGGCUGGGUAAGACGGGUGCCAGCCGCCGCGGUAAUACCUGCAGCUCAAGUGGUGAUCAUUAUUAUUGGGCCUAAAACGUCCGUAGCCGGUUUAGUAAAUGCCUGGGUAAAUCGUGUAGCUUAACUAUACGACUUCCGGGUAGACUGCUAAACUUGAGACCGGGAGAGGCUAGAGGUACUCCUGGGGUAGAGGUGAAAUUCUGUAAUCCUAGGGGGACCACCAGUGGCGAAGGCGUCUAGCUAGAACGGGUCUGACGGUGAGGGACGAAGCCCUGGGGCACAAACCGGAUUAGAUACCCGGGUAGUCCAGGGUGUAAACGCUGCUUGCUUGAUGUUAGUUGGGCUCCGAGCCCAACUAGUGUCGGAGAGAAGUUGUUAAGCAAGCUGCCUGGGAAGUACGGUCGCAAGGCUGAAACUUAAAGGAAUUGGCGGGGGAGCAC